AAAAAGACAAGAAAAAGGACAAAAAAACAAAAGUUGAUGAUACAUAAGUAAACAAAACAGAAAAAGAAAAACGUAUAGAGUAUUGCUUAGAGAAAGAACAAACAUAUGUGUGUGUGUGUGAAUAUGAAAUUAUACAUAAAAAGAAAAUUAAAAAAGGUUCAGAAAUAGAAAGACGUGGCAAAAAGGUUCAACCAAUCCACAUCUAAUCUAACCUUCUUCAUCAGUUGGAAGCAAACUUCACACCCGCAGAUUCUGCCAUGUGGCUUCUCUCUCUUCUACAGC
rnacentral:lncRNA from 1 species